UUCACCCGGCUGUAAAAUAAAAAGGAGGUGUGGCCGCGCCGUCGAGGCUGGAGGCGCCGCGGGAGCAGCGAGGGCCGCAGGCAGGUGAGAGAAGCGACGGGCUUCCCCCACACUCCCGGGGAUUCCUCACACAGGGCCCUCCCGAAA
rnacentral:lncRNA from 1 species